rnacentral:rRNA from 1 species
CAGUCGCCGCGGGAAUACGAAGGGGGCUAGCGUUGCUCGGAAUUACUGGGCGUAAAGGGCGCGUAGGCGGACAGUUCAGUCGGGGGUGAAAGCCCGGGGCUCAACCUCGGAAUUGCCUUCGAUACUGGCUGUCUUGAGUAUGAGAGAGGUGUGUGGAACUCCGAGUGUAGAGGUGAAAUUCGUAGAUAUUCGGAAGAACACCAGUGGCGAAGGCGACACACUGGCUCAUUACUGACGCUGAGGCGCGAAAGCGUGGGGAGCAAACAGGAUUAGAUACCCCUGUAGUCCCUGUCUCUUAUAC